rnacentral:rRNA from 1 species
CCUACGGGUGGCAGCAGUAGGGAAUAUUGCUCAAUGGGGGAAACCCUGAAGCAGCAACGCCGCGUGGAGGAUGAAGGUCUUAGGAUUGUAAACUCCUUUUGUGAGGGAAGAUAAUUACGGUAUCUCACGAAUAAGCACCGGCUAACUCCGUGCCAGCAGCCGCGGGAAUACGGUGGGUGAAAGCGUUACUCGGAAUCAAUGGGCGUAAAGAUUGCGCGGGCGGGCUUGUAAGUCAGAUGUGAAAUCCUGUAGCUUAACUACAGAACCGCAUUUGAAACUAUGAGUCUAGAGUGUGGGAGAGGUAGGUGGAAUUCUAGGUGUAGGGGUAAAAUGCGUAGAUAUCAAGAGGAAUACUCAUUGCGAAGGCGACCUACUGGAACAUUACUGACGCUGAUGCACGAAAGCGUGGGGAGCAAACAGGAUUAGAUACCCGAGUAGUC